AUGUGCAGAGUGGUGGAGAUGGAGUUGUCCCUCGUAUACGACGUCAUGCACACCAAGGCGGCCAUCGCACACAGCUGGCCGGGUUACUGCAUCCGCAUCAUGUCACCGCCCUUCACCGCCGCCGCCUUGCUGCUCUUCUGCUCCGACAGCAAAGUCGGUGAGAGUGGUUGGGAUGUCAUGGUGACAUACGCCUUGCUCCUUGUGACACUCAUCCUUGAUGUUGGGUGGCUACUCGGAACGCUAGGGUCCACAUGGACAUGUGCAUUCCUGAGGCAUAGGUCGCACUGGCUUGUUUGGUGCUCGCUGGGGAGGUGCCAUCGGCAGCUCCGUAGCUUGGGCUUUGCCGCUGUCAAGGAUCCAACUAGCUACAGGUUGUGGUCGGGCAUCAUGGGGCAGUACAACCUGUUAAGUGAGAACUGUCGCGGAAGAAGGGCCAGCAAGCUAGUAAAGAAGCUUUCAGCCGAAGAUGCUUGGAUGGAAUACACAUACGGCUACUCCGAGAGCAUUGCACUAUCACAAUGUCUCAAGGACUUGGUUUUCCAAGGAGUAAGGGAAAUUCUCGAGGAAGCCUUAGUUAGAAAAUAG
rnacentral:rRNA from 1 species